rnacentral:rRNA from 1 species
CUUGACCUCAAAUCAGGUAGGACCACCCGCUGAACUUAAGCAUAUCAAUAAGCGGAGGAAAAGAAACUAACAAGGAUUCCCUUAGUAACUGCGAGUGAAGAGGGAAAAGCUCAAAUUUGUAAUCUGGCGGUCUUUGGCCGUCCGAGUUGUAAUCUAGAGAAGUGCUACCUGCGCUGGACCAUGUACAAGUCUCCUGGAAUGGAGCAUCAUAGAGGGUGAGAAUCCCGUCUAUGACAUGGACUGCCAGAGCUCAUAAGUGCGCUCUCAAAGAGUCGAGUUGUUUGGGAAUGCAGCUCAAGAUGGGUGGUAAAUGCCAUCUAAAGCUAAAUAUUGGCGAGAGANCGAUAGCGAGCAAGUACCGUGAGGGAAGGAUGAAANGAACUUUGGAAGGAGAGUUAAACAGUA